rnacentral:lncRNA from 1 species
CCCAGCACCACCAACAUCAUCACCAGCACCACCAACAUCACCACCAGCACCACCCCCAGCACCACCAACAUCAUCACCAGCACCACCAACAUCACCACCAACAUCACCACCAGCACCACCAACAUCACCACCAGCACCACCAACAUCAUCAGCACCAUCGGUGACCACCCCUAGUAACUCUCCUGUUACCAUCAUUGUUGUGGUUCUGCUGCUGAUUGGAGGAGCAGCUCUGGUCUUUUUUAUUGUGAUUCACAAGAAGAAACAAGGCUCCACCCCUUCCAAAAGAACCAAUCAGAGUGACCAAAAAGAGGUUCCUGCUGUGGUCAGUAAUGAUGAAGAGACUGCACUCACCACCCCAACUCCACCCAAAGACCAAGAUCUCACCUACUCCACCCCAACUCCACCCAAAGACCAAGAUCUCACCUACUCCACCUUAACUCCACCCAAAGACCAAGAGCUCACCUACUCCACUGUGAGUUUCCAUAAGAACCCAGGUUCUCCCACUGAUGAUUCAGUUAGCGUUAAUAAGGAGGAACCUGAAACUGAGUACUCCACCGUCAAAAAUCUCAAAGAACUGGAGUAACUCUGGUGUAAAAUGUAAUUUUGUUGUAGUAAAACAUGAUCAAAAGUUCUUACCUUUGAUGAAUAGCACGCCUCCGCUCUCCCACAGCGUUCAGAGAUCCAGAAAGUUUAACAAAUUCUCCAACAAACACCCUUCAGACUGGGCGAUACGGAGCAUAAUUUACCCUGAUAAAUCACUUUUUACACUGUAAUCCAAAGUAGCUCCACACCUCCUUACUAGAAUCUGGAGAGCCCUGAUAUUUAAAACGAGGCAUUAAUAACUUAAAAAGUGCAGAAGAAGAUCAUUAAAAAAAUACUAAUUACAUCCUAUAACACUCCUAUAAAGCUUCGAGCACCGCCAUCACUGUACUGAUAAUGACAUAGACAUAAAUACACAUAGACUCCACAUAGCAAAGCAGCCGGCGCCAGGAGGCAGGCAAUGCGGAGUCUAUGUAUAUAUAUAUAUAUAUAUAUAUAUAUAUAUAUAUAUAUAUAUAUAUAUAUAUAUGUCUAUGUUAUUAUCAGUACAGUGAUGGCGGCGCUUGGAGCUGAAGCUAGUGGCAUUAUGGGAUGUAAGCUAUGUUUUGGAUAAACUGUUAAAAUUUCUGGAUCUCUGAACGCUGUGGGAGAACAGAGGUGAGCUUUUCAUGAAAGGUAAGAACUUUUUAUCAUGUUUUACUACAACAAAAGUCCAUUUUACACCAGAGUUCUCCUUUAAUCAGCUCUGAACUAACUGUUCAUCACCAACUUACGGAAAGUUAUUAUAUAUGUAUAUUAAUCUAUAAUAUAUUAUAGAAUACUAUACUGAGGAUUUAUCUUGAUGUGUUUGAUGUGUAAAUGCUCAGAUAUUGUUUAACAAGUCUAUUUACAACCCUGUUAUUUUGCCUCAGAAUGGAACAGGUUAGUUUCUGUUUUGUCAAUCAAUCAACCUUUAUUUUAACUCAGGAAAACAUUGAGGGCAACCCUUAUUUACAAGGUUGCCGAGCAUUAACAACAUCAGAGGAAUUGAAAAUAUUUAGUAAGAAAUAAAAAUAAUAAAGAAAAGUAAUACUAGUUUAUA